CUGGUCCUUGGGAUUUGAAUAGGUAAUGCUGGAUUUCUUAUUUUAGUAUUUCUUAUGUUUGUUAAGAUACAAUUGAAUAUACCUGUUUUUUCAUGCUAAGUUCAUUUGGGUUUUUCCUUGGGGUAGGGUGAUAAGGAGUAUCAGGAGUUGGUUCGGAAAUUGAACCAUCCCGGAAGGAUUCCUGAUCAAGUGGAGUCCCUUGUGAUGAGUUUAAAGGGUUUAUCUGGAGAUGUUACAUCUAUUGAUAUCGUUCGACAUGAGACGCUUCUACAAGAUGUAAGUUCGUGAGUUGAAUAUUUCCUCGCAGUCUCGCUGGUUAGUGCAACUUAUGAUCGUCGUUAUCACAGUUACAUUGUGUCAAUAAGACACUACCGUGCUCCUGAGGUUAUUCCUGGACUUGGAUGGAGUUACCUUUGUGAUAUUUGGAAUCUUGGUUGUAUCUCAAUUGAGCUAUGCUCGGGAGAGACAUUGUUUAAGGCGCACGAGAACUUAUAGCACCUGGCCAUGAUGGAGAGGAUAUUGAGGUCAAUACCAAGUCACAUGUUGAAGAGAGUUGGGUACGUGAUUUCAUCUUUUUAAGUUUUCUCUUGGUGGUUAUUUUUAAAAUGUUCCAUCUGGUAACUUGUCCAUUUCGUCGUCAAAUAUCAUGCCGAGAAAUAUACAAUUAUAUACAUAAACAAAGGAAGAUUGAAUUUCCCAGAGGGUGCGACAUCCAGGGAAAUCAUUAAAGCUGUUUCGAAGUUGCCACA